rnacentral:lncRNA from 1 species
AGUCACAGUAUUACUGAAUGAGAUCUUAAGCAUCUGGUAACAAGUCAGAAUUCUGUAUCAGCCACUUUUAUUUGUAUAUUGAGCCCUGGUUAGUGCCCUGAUUAGUGCACUUUUAAGAAUGGACUGUGGCUGAGCAACAAGUCAAAAUGCCAGAAAUAUUUUUAUAUGUUAAUGUCAUAUUACGUCAAUGUUGCAAAAAAAAAAAAGAAAACCUAACAAACACUUGGUGUAUCAGUCCAAUUCCACGUAGAACUGAGUGAUACAGUCGAAGUCUGUUGUCGCUCCCACCUUGUCUUAGGGAUGGGUAGUUAUGUGUUACUUUCACUGUCUUUAUGAAAGCUACAAUAUGUGUUUUCACCUUUGUGCUGAUAACUGGAAGUAAGCUGCAACACAGUGCUUAUUACAUUACUAAAAAUUAUGUUCUUUGCUUUGCGUACUUUUGGGUUACCCCUUUAAAGACUGAUUUUGUGAAUCAGUGCUAUUACUGUAAGUUUUGUGAUUAUGCUUUCUUCAUCUAAUGUUUUAUGCAUAUAAAAUAUUAUUUAUUACAUGGAAACGUAUCAAAACCUUAAAUGUCUAAGAUGCCUAACUUAAAGAAAAUACUGCUUUAAAAAUAGUUCUGAUUGGAUAUUAAUAUUAUUUUGUCAAAAAAAAAAAUCUAAUGUUUUGUAAACUCUAGCAGUGAGCUUCUAUAGUUUGUAGGUCUUCCUUGCAAUACUGGUACAUGUUUAUUUUGUGCAGUUCAUAUUUAAUCCACCACAAUCCUUUUUUAACAAUAGAAAGAUGUAUAUACAAGUUCACAUCAUGGUAAUUUUUUUUAAAGAAAUAUUGAGCAAUAUUUUUCAUUAAAUAUUGUUACCUAAUACUUUCUAGCGAUAUUAUUUUCUAACCAUGAUUCUUUCAUAAUUUUUGUAGUUGCUUGAACACAUAUGGGAUUCUGUACUCCAGUUUUUUCAUAUGCAGUCUUUAAAGGGUUAACAGCUAUAAAGUUAGAUGGACUUGUGGCAAGCUUUUGAAUCAUUCAUAUCUGAAAGAGAAUUAAAAGCCUACAACUGAAAUAAAUAUAUAGUAGCAUCUACCAUUGCUCUGCUCCUUGCAUAGAGUCACCUGUAAGUAGGUUUAGUAGUUUUACAGUAUAUACUUUCAAGACCUUUGGGAAUGCCUCAGUGUUUGGCUUGGUACAUAAAUGGAAAUGUUAAGGUUUAAGGGGGAACCAAUUUAUAAGCUGGAUGUUUAGAAAGAAUCUUGCUAAAACCAGUGUAAAUAUUACAGACCAUGAGAUGUUACCGUAAGUUGAAUUUUUUGCCCCUCUUUAGUUAUGCAGGUUUUGGGUUGGUAUUUUAGUUUUGGGUUUUGAUUUGGAUUUUUUUUUUUUUUUUUUUUUUGCAUAGAUAAUGAAGAAAUUGUGCUCAUGUUAUUGUUUAUAUGCUUUUGUAAUCUUAAAGAUAUUAAUGUCUAGUUGUUCUAUAUUAUAACCACAUUUGCGCUCUAUGCAAGCCCUUGGAACAGAACAUACUCAUCUUCAUGUAGGACCUAUGAAAAUUGUCUAUUUUUAUCUAUAUAUUUAAAGUUUUCUAAAAAUGAAAAAAGGUUAUUACGAAUUUUGUUGUACAAAAUCUGUACAAAAAUCUGUUUUUACAUCAUAAUGCAAGAAUUGGAAAUUUUUCUAUGGUAGCCUAGUUAUUUGAGCCUGGUUUCAAUGUGAGAACCACGUUUACUGUUAUUGUAUUUAAUUUUCUUUUCUUUUCAACAAUCUGCUAAUAAAACUGUCUGAAAUCUC